rnacentral:rRNA from 1 species
GGGUUGUGAGGUUAAGCGACUAAGCGUACACGGUGGAUGCCCUGGCAGUCAGAGGCGAUGAAGGGCGUGCUAAUCUGCGAUAAGCGCCGGUAAGGUGAUAUGAACCGUUAUAACCGUCGAUACCCGAAUGGGGAAACCCAGUGUGAUUCGUCACACUAUCAUUAACUGAAUCCAUAGGUUAAUGAGGCGAACCGGGGGAACUGAAACAUCUAAGUACCCCGAGGAAAAGAAAUCAACCGAGAUUCCCCCAGUAGCGGCGAGCGAACGGGGAAGAGCCCAGAGCCUGAAUCAGCAUGUGUGUUAGUGGAAGCGUCUGGAAAGGCGCGCGAUACAGGGUGACAGCCCCGUACACAAAAGCGCAUGUGCUGUGAGCUCGAUGAGUAGGGCGGGACACGUGGUAUCCUGUCUGAAUAUGGGGGGACCAUCCUCCAAGGCUAAAUACUCCUGACUGACCGAUAGUGAACCAGUACCGUGAGGGAAAGGCGAAAAGAACCCCGGCGAGGGGAGUGAAAAAGAACCUGAAACCGUGUACGUACAAGCAGUGGGAGCCCCACCACUAAGCCAGUGGUGAACUCCACAUACGCAUCCUUUGCUGAGGAUACGGUUAACGGAGCGAAAGCGACGUUAAACCGCAAAAGAAGCAGAGGGGGCUUAGUGGUGG